GAUGAACGCUGGCGGCGUGCUUAACACAUGCAAGUCGAACGGGAAACAUUUUAAUGAAGCUUCGGCAGAUUUGGUUUGUUUCUAGUGGCGGACGGGUGAGUAACGCGUGGGUAACCUGCCUCACACUGGGGGAUAACAGUCAGAAAUGACUGCUAAUACCGCAUAAGCGCACGGGACCGCAUGGUUUUGUGUGAAAAACUCCGGUGGUAUGAGAUGGACCCGCGUCUGAUUAGGUAGUUGGUGGGGUAACGGCCUACCAAGCCGACGAUCAGUAGCCGACCUGAGAGGGUGACCGGCCACAUUGGGACUGAGACACGGCCCAA
rnacentral:rRNA from 1 species